CAUGUACUCCCUCCGUCCGGAAAUACUUGUCAUCAAAAUGAAUAAAAGGGGAUGUAUCUAGAUGUAUUUUAGUUCUAGAUACAUCCCUUUUUGUUCAUUUUGAUGACAAGUAUUUUCGGACGGAGGGAGUAUGAU
rnacentral:pre_miRNA from 1 species